rnacentral:rRNA from 1 species
AUAUCGGAGACGGAUGGGCAUGCGGCGCAUUAGCUAGUUGGCGGGGUAACGGCCCACCAAGGCGACGAUGCGUAGGGGUUCUGAGAGGAAGGUCCCCCACACUGGUACUGAGACACGGACCAGACUCCUACGGGAGGCAGCAGUGAGGAAUAUUGGUCAAUGGGCGAGAGCCUGAACCAGCCAAGUCGCGUGAGGGAGUACUGCCCUAUGGGUUGUAAACCUCUUUUGUCGGGGAGCAAAAGCCGGACGUGUCCGGCUGUGAGAGUACCCGAAGAAAAAGCAUCGGCUAACUCCGUGCCAGCAGCCGCGGUAAUACGGAGGAUGCGAGCGUUAUCCGGAUUUAUUGGGUUUAAAGGGUGCGCAGGCGGAUUUUUAAGUCAGCGGUCAAAUCGUGGGGCUCAACCCCAUCCAGCCGUUGAAACUGGGGAUCUAGAGUGUGCGAGAGGUAUGCGGAAUGCGUGGUGUAGCGGUGAAAUGCAUAGAUAUCACGCAGAACCCCGAUUGCGAAGGCAGCAUACCGGUGCACAACUGACGCUCAGGCACGAAAGCGUGGGUAUCGAACAGGAUUAGAUACCCUGGUAGUCCACGCAGUAAACGAUGAAUGCUACCUGUUUGGCCAGAUUGAAGGCUGAGCGGG